rnacentral:rRNA from 1 species
GAGUGCCAGCAGCCGCGGUAAUACGGAGGGUGCGAGCGUUAAUCGGAAUUACUGGGCGUAAAGCGCGCGUAGGUGGCUUGAUAAGUCGGAUGUGAAAGCCCAGGGCUUAACCUUGGAAUUGCAUUCGAUACUGUCAGGCUAGAGUAUGGUAGAGGGUAGUGGAAUUCCCGGUGUAGCGGUGAAAUGCGUAGAGAUGUGGAGGAACACCAGUGGCGAAGGCGGCUACCUGGACCAAUACUGACACUGAGGUGCGAAAGCGUGGGGAGCGAACAGGAUUAGAUACCCGGGUAGUCCG